GAUGAAGAACGCAGCGAAAUGCGAUAAGUAAUGUGAAUUGCAGAAUUCAGUGAAUCAUCGAAUCUUUGAACGCACAUUGCGCCCGGUAGUAUUCUGCCGGGCAUGCCUGUUCGAGCGUCAUUUCAACCAUCAAGCCCCAGCGCUUGUGUUGGGGGCCUGCGGCUGCCGCAGCCCCCCAAAAGCAGUGGCGGGCUCGCUAUCACACCGAGUGCAGUAGUUUACUCUUCGCUCAGGGCGUGUGGCGGGUGCUAGCCGUAAAACCCCCAACUUCUCAAGGUUGACCUCGGAUCAGGUAGGAAUACCCGCUGAACUUAAGCAUAUCAAUAAGCGGAGGA
rnacentral:misc_RNA from 1 species